rnacentral:lncRNA from 1 species
GCGAACCUCUUUUCAAUAAGAAUUAAAAAUUAAAUGCGCCCAUAUCAUUUUGUAAGUUGGGUUCUCGUUUCGCUUUUGAUGGUUGGAAACCAAACGAAAUAAGUCGGCUCGUCCAAAAAAAAAAAAUAAUAAUAAAUAAAUAAAUAAAGUGGAUAUUGAAAAACUUGUAGUUUCUAUAAACAAAGUAAGAAAAUAAUUAAAUUGCACUAAAAAAAUAUAAACAAAUUCAUUUAUCACUCAAAAGGGAUUUACAUUUCUUGUUAACCCUCCAUUUAAGUUAGUGAAAAAUCCCAUUAGUCCCGUCCGGUAAGGUAAAUAGGACUUCCGGCGACCCUCUUCUUUGGCUUUACUUUUUAAAUACAUCUCAUGUGCCGACAACGGUGCCGUUUUAUUCUUCUUACUGUUCUUCACCUUCCCGUUGACUUUCGCCGUCGCAGUCGCCGUGGCCAUCUUCGCCAUGGACGGCGGCGGAGUAUUGCUAUCCCUCAAGAAAACAAAGGCGUCCCUUCCAUCACUGUUACUUCUCCCCAUGGAAUCCUUGAAACGCCAUGUCUUCGAGAACCCAGUUGAGUUACUCUUCGUGCACACCUCCGGCGAAAACACCUCCUCCACCACCUUGACGUCGUCAUUUUCCGACGAGGAUGACGUCAUCCCAUCUCUCCUUUCAACAAAAACCUUAUUCACUGCUGGCCGCACAGGCAAAUCCUCAUAUAAAAUCUUCGUAUCUUGAUUGAACAAUGGAAAAAGAGGCUUGAUUUGACCAUUAAUGAAUGCAUCUUCAGCUGCUAUUGGUGAUAUAUUCACUCCACACGUAAAAGAAAAUUCCUCCUCCUCGUCUUCUUCGUCGUCCUCGUCUGAAUAUGAACUAAGCUUCAUCUUACUAUAAAAAUCGUGACUCAUAUCUGUAAAAUCUUGAACUGAGUUUUGGUUUUCUUCAAGAUUUGUCUCCAUAUUUGGAAGAAUUUGUAUGCGAAGAAGGGAUUUAAUUGAAUGAAAGGAUGAGCUGAAUGAGGGCGGUUGAUAAAUUAGGUUCGGUCUAGAAACAAGAACUAUUUAUUGUGUUGGUGUACAUCUGUUAGUAUUAAACAAAUGUUUAAUAAUAAAAACAAUUGAUUUUGUGGGCGGCUGUUGAAUUGAAUGGGGCAGAAGAAAACAAGAAUAUGAAAGGGGGAGGAAGUGAAAAGGGAUUGCGAGUCACGUUUUACGAAUUGGCUGGGAAAUUGCAAAGAAAUAGCUUGUUGGAAAGUUUUUUUGAUUUGUGUUUGUAAUUAGUACUAAACCACGUGCGUAAAUUAAUGUUCAUGAAUUUUAGUACUGAAUGAUUUGGUUAGGUUUGUCACGUAAUAGGGUUGACACUAGAAUAUACACAUAACAUUUUUCGUCUUUUUUAUUUUAACUAUUAUUCAUUACACUUCAUAUAUUUAGGCGUUGGUGGUAGUAGAAAUAUCUUGGCCCUACUACGUUUACUCGACUUUUCGGAUUGAUUUGAUUUGAAAACAGAGAAAAUGAUGAAUCUAGUCUAGGUAUCUUGGUGAAGUAGGGGGUGCAAAGGUUGAAAAUUUUCAAAUGUGUGAUUAAUUAAGAUCUGAAUAAAAAAGGGAAGUAUUGUGUUUACACAAUGGUUUACACAUAAUAUUACACUCUCCUCAUGUGAAGGGAGGCUCACUUACAAUAAUAUAUUCGUGACCCCCUCACAUUGAGGGGGGUUUAACUCAUUAUGUACACCAUGAUGUGUACACAUAGUAUUUCUCAAAUAAAAAAUAGAUAAAUAGGAUAAAGAGAAUCCAAAAUAAUUGUUUACCCCUCGUGUUGAUCAUUUGAAAUCGAGCACCGAUACAUUAAUCACUCAAGUAUCCUGUCGAGAUUCUGAUGGUGUGAAGAGGACGGUCGCCAAUAUCAUCAUGGACUAAUAUUCAGCGUUUGAGCCUAAGUUGUUUUGUUGAAAGGUUUAAAUUGAUGGAUCUGGGCUGCACCCCCUUCAACUUGGGGGACACUACGUUGCCAGGGUAAUGAUCCGUUUUAGUUCAGGUGCUCCCUUAGGAGGCAAGUUCGAUGUGUCCUAAAUGUGGAAGCAAAACCAUUUUUACUUCCAACCGAGUUUGACAAGGUCAAAAAUUUGUGACAUCAGUAUCGAUAGUCGAUUGUUCCAAACCAUCAAUAGGUUAAGUCCGUGACUAGAUGCUGCCCUCCUAUUUCUUGUGACAUAUCAAUCCUUUGAUCAAAGUUUUUCUACUCAUCAAAUUUUGGGUGUGACAAUACAGGUUGUUAGAUAUCUUGUCGAAUCCUAGGAGGACUAUUCUUUUAAUUUGUAUGCUCGUUUUCUUUUCUCAUAUGUGCUUUCAAGAAUUCUAUUAUUCUUAAAUUAUGAUAUUACUAUAAUGGUUAGAAUCAUGAGUUGUGUCAAGUUAUAUGAACGUGAUUAUGUUUUGAUGAGGGCACGUGCCCUUAACUCUAGUAGAUGAGGAUUUUCAAAACAUCUUCAAAACUUAUGUCUCCAAAAUUUGGGCGAACUAAUUUCAAAUCUUUAGUUUUCAAUAUGAAUAAAUUUCAAUGCUUCAAAAUACUAUAAAUAUGAGAAAAUUGAUUACUUGUCAGAAAAAUCACACGGAUGUGUUAAUUAAACAAACUGAAGGAUUAGAAAAAUAGCGUAUAUGUAAACUAUGUAGAUAACAAUAAAUUAAACAAUAAACAAAUUAAUGAAGCUAACAAAGAGAGACUUCUUGUGAGUGAAGUUUCGUGUUCUUUAGAAAAUAAAAAUAAAAUAACGGGAAUAAAUAUUGACACCUAGUAGUUUAGUUAUGAGAAAUGUUUAAUUACUUUAAAUAUGUGAUUAAUAUUUGAUGUGACAUCUUGGGUUAUGUUUUUAUUCCUUCUACUUAGAGGUGGGCGCGGGUCGGUUCGGUUCGAUUCUUUUUAGAACGAAAUUGAACCAAAAUUUUCGGGUAUUUAGUAAAUGGAAUCGUCGGGUCCAAAUAUAAUUAUGGAACCGUUCGGGUUCGGUUCCGUUCAGUUCAAUUCGGUUCCGUUUGAUUCUGUACUAUAAUUAAAUUUUUUAACAUUUAUAACAAUAUUAUAUAAAUACAACUAAUGAUACAUUCAAUGAUUUUGGAAUGCCAUAGACUAGUAGACUACCUUAUUCAAAUGAUUGCUACGGUCAAAGUUUCGGUCGACGGAAGUCGCAGCUUCGAUCGGAGGUCGCAGCAUCGACCGACGAUUGUAUAGGUUUUGAAAUGUCAGCGAAGCUAGGAGAGUGAGUGCGAGAGUCGAGAUAACGUCAUGCACUUUAGUGUAGGUGUUAAGAGUUAUUUAGUGGAUUAGAUCUUAUUAGGCUAAGAAAUGAAACAAUAAAAUGGGUAAUGGGGCCAAAAAUUAAAAAAUUAGAAAUGAAACAAAUUAUUAGGCCAAAAAUUUGAAUUUAGAAAUUUUUAAUUUAUUAAUUUGUUUAGAAAAAAUUAAAAUUAAAAUUAAAAUAAUUUUAUUUACUCAAUAUAAAAAAAAUUAGAAUGAUUCGGAUCUUAUUCGUUUUUUCGGUUCUUGGUCUAGAACCGAGAACCGAAUCGUACCCGUCGGUUCUCAAUUCAGAUACCCGUUCGGGUAUAUAAUUUGACAAUAACCGUUAGGUACGGUUCAGUUCGGUUCGGGUUCGAUUCGGUUCGAGAGAUUUGUCCAACCCUACUUCUACUACUGCAAAGGUCCCUCACAACAGGGAGUCCAUCAUUUUUUAAUUCGACGUGAGCCCUACAUUGUGAGGGGUCUGUACGCAUACAGAUAGCAAAAUUCUUAUUCCUUUUGAACAGCUCUAAUUUUGAGGAAAUGAAUUAAAUUAUUUAUAAGUUUUUAUUUUUGACUUAGUCAUAUAUAUCUUGAAAUAAAAGUUACUUGUUUUCGAUUAUUAUUCAAUAAUUAAUUUUCAAGGCACUCUUUUGAACGGGACUUCCAUUAUGCGUACCAAUUCAUUUUCCUUUUUUUCUUUUUCUUUCCUUUUGUGUGUGUAAAGUGGAAGUUUACUUACUUUAACUUUAACUUAUAUUGAAUGAGACUCUUUUUUUUCAUCUCGUGUUCAAGAUAAUACUCGAAUGUUGAUGGAUACCUAAUAUCAUUAUAACAUGAUGCAUUUUUUUAAGUUUUGUAUUUCAUUUUAUUGUUUCUUCACAACCUUAAUUUGUGUUUAACAAGCAAAAUCUCUAAUAAUGGUUGACUUGACUUAGUCCAAUGAGGAAACCAUUACACGCGUUAUCUUUACACAAUAAGGUGAAAAUGACUUCUAAUUCUCUAAAUGUAUGUUUCCUAAUGAACAUAAGAUAAAACGAUGUUUAAAAAUAAAAAUAAACUAAAAUUUUAUUCAUUCUAAAUUCAAAUGAUUUAAAAGUCUAAUUGUAGACAUGUUAUCAUAAUUUGGACACAAAAAUAAGUUGCUUUUCUUACUUGGAGUGCAGAUGAGAUAAUUAGGAGAAACUUAAUUAUUAUUUUGGUGUAAUUGAGAGAGAGAGAGAGAGAGAGAGAGAGAGAGAGAAUGAAAAGAAUUGAGCUUGCAUUUGGAUUUAAUCAUUUUGUACAUUAACACAAUAAAUUACUAAAAUUAAGUACUAAAUUUGAAAUUUCUACAUGAUCCUAUAUAAAUCUCGAACAAGUAUAUUUAUAAUUUAUUUCGAAUCUUCGAUUAAAGUAUUGUAUGUAUUAAUUUAGGUUAAUAGGAUUUAAGACUAGGUAAAAGAUAAGGUGCUGAUUAUUUUUAGAUUCUUUUAUCCAUAGUUUAUACUAAUCUAUGGACACUUAUAUUAUCUUAAUUGAAUAGAACUUUUAAGUCUAGACUUUUAAAUGGAAAAUUAGGAUCAUUACCCUUAAAAAAAUAAAAUAUUAGAUUAAUACCCUUAAAAAUUAACUACAACUACAAAUUCUCGUAUUAGUUGCGCCCAAAUUAAUUUUAUCACUUUUUUAAACUUCUGUCACUUUACGUUGAAUAGUCUUUCUUUUCUCUUUUUACAAGAUUAAGAGUUAAUCAUACCACGUGAAUACAAAUUUAAAGUGGCGUGAUAUGUACUUUUUAUGAAAAAUAUGAUACCUUUUUUUUUUUUAAAACAAAAAACAACAUUUACAUUUUAACAAAGGUUAUUGUAUGUGCAAUCUAUCAAAAUAACAUUUUCACUCAUUUUGUUACUUUUAUAUUUGUUGUCUUAUUCUCAAUUGCCUCCAUAACAAUUGAAGAUAUUAGUUUUAUCCAUAUCUCCAACAAGAAUAUAAAAGAAAUAGUAUGUGAAACUUUUAAAAAAAAUAAAAAACAAAAAAAAGUGACAGAGCAUGUCACUUUAAUUUCUAGCAAUUUAUCUCAUGCACAAAAAAAUAAAUAAAAUGUUAGGUCAUGUCACUUUCUAAUCUUAAAAAAAAAAAAAUUUGAAUUCAUAUUCAUAUUGAAAUUUUCACACACACACUUUCAUUGAUCUUAAAGAAUUCAAAUAAGAUAUGACCGUGACAUUUUCAGAAAAAAAGUGACAAGGAUUGUCAUUUUCAAGUUUUAGUAUCUUAAUACAUAUGCAAAAAUACAAGGAUUAAACUACUUGUACAUACUUGAUGUACAUUAAGUUUGAUAUAAGUGUUGACACCAUUUGGGCCAUUGAUUAUUAGUGUUAUGAAGCUCAAUGUGUAAAAAUAUGUGGAAAUUACAUAAAUUAAUACAUUUAGAGAUUCCAUUUCAUAAAUCAUAUACAAGGUUUAGCCUUUCAAAAAUCAGAUUUUUUUAUUAAUUAAUAUAUUUAAAAAUUAAUUAAUUAAAUUUUUGAUAAUUAAACAUCCCCCACCUUCCAAAACCUAAUUUUCUAUCCAUAUUCUCUCUCUCUACCAAAAUCUCUCUAUUCCGACCGAUCGGUUGAUCAACAGCGCAAAACCACACACUGUGUGUGACGCUUCUUGCAGCGAAUUCGCGGGAAGGUGGUGGCCAAGCGACAAGUCAUGUGAAGAUGUUUUGCCACUUUUAGAUCGUCACCGGCUAAGGCAGAAAAAGAGUAAGACUCACCAUUAGUGUCGCCGACGAUGCUCCAUCUUAGAUGUGAAGCUAGUACUAGAGAAAAGCAGCGUCGUUGCUGUUGCUACAAUAGGAACACCACCCAUGGUCAGAUGUUGUAUUGAUACGGGAGAAAAAUUGGGGGUUGAUUUUCAGGUUUUUUGGGUGAUUUCUUCCUAUUCAAAUCUAAUCUGCUUUAGCAAGAGUUGUGUGGUUGUUUUUUUUUUGUUGAUUGUUGGUGGUGAGGUAGUGGUGGCAGAUUGUCGGUGGUGAGGUGGGAGUAGCAGCAAUUUUGAAGUUAAAAGCACCACCCAUGGUCAGAUGUUGUAUUGAUACGGGAGAAAAAUUGGGGGUUGAUUUUCAGGUUUUUUGGGUGAUUUCUUCCUAUUCAAAUCUAAUCUGCUUUAGCAAGAGUUGUGUGGUUGUUGUUUUUUUGUUGAUUGUUGGUGGUGAGGUAGUGGUGGCAGAUUGUCGGUGGUGAGGUGGGAGUAGCAGCAAUUUUGAAGUUAAAAAUGAAAGUUUGUUGGAGGUGACGGCAGAGAUGAUAUAGGCGGUGGUGGUAAGUGCUUGGUGGCAGAUUUGGGGAUUUUUUUUUUUUUUUUUGUAGGAGCUAUGGUGGUGAUGCUCGUGGUCGUGGUGUUUGAAUCUAAUGAUGACAGAGGAUAUGUUAGAUCUGGUGGUGGCGAUGGUAGUGGUCUAACAGUAAUCAUGGUUUUGGUUGGGGUGAGGUGGGUUGAUGUGUGGUAGGGGUGGUUUUGGUGGUCGUGGUUGUGUCGAUGGUUGUGGUCACAAGUGUUGGUCACAUAUUAUUUGAUUAACUGUGACCAUUAAAUUGGUUAAUCUGUGAUCAAUAAAAAAUAUGUGACCAACGAAAAAGAUAAAUUGUGACCAAUGAAUAAUGCGUGAUCUAAAAAAUUAAUAAUUUGUGAUCGAAAAAUAAGUUGUGAUUAAAAAUUAAUCCGUGACUAAUUAAUUUUUUUUAUUUGUAAUCGAUGAACAAACUGUGAUCUACAAAUUUUUUGAAUUGUGAUCGUAAAAUAAUUUAUAACAUAAAAUUUCUGAUUUGUGAUCAAAAAAUAAUGUGUGACUAAUUAAAUUGUUAAUUUGUGAUCAAAUUGUAUAAGUAUGUGACUUAAAUUUAUUUAAUUAAUUAGUUAAUUUAAUAAUAAAUAAAUUUUAAUAAAAAUUUGAUUUUUGAAGUUUGAAACUUAUUUUCUUAAUUUUGAAAUAUGUCACACUUAAUUUCUUACUCAUGAAAUUUUCCCUAAAAAUAUACCGCCUCACACGAAUGUCAAAGUUAAUGUACAACUCAAAUGCACAUAUAGCUUGACUAAAAAUACGAAGUGUUUCAUUAUAUCACUUUUUAAUGUAAAGAAAGGUUUGAGUUUGUAUUCAUAUUUAAAUUUUCACAAACAUAUAUGUUUUUACCUACUUAAUUGCUUCAAAUGAAUUCAAAUAACAUAGACUGCAAAAUUUUUCCAAAAAAAGUGACAGAAAAUGUCAUUUUCUCGAUCUCAUUUUCACAACACCGUGCAUGCAUUAAUUGAAUUGAUCCAAACUUGAUUUUUCAUAUAUAUUAACUCAAUCCAAUUCAAAGGAUGUCACUUUUUUCAUUCUCAUUUUACAAACAACUUGCAUGCAUCACUUAAAUUGAUUCUAAUUUGAUUUUUCAUAUAUAUUAAUUCAAUCUAAUUCAUGCAAAUCUGAAUUUUAAUGCACAGUAACUCAAAAUUAUUCAUUCAGAUAUUAAAUUUCAUAUGCACUAUAAUAAAAAAAAAUCUCAAUAAUAUUAAAAUCAAACAAUAUAUGAACUAAUUGAAUCAAAAAACAUAAACAUAAAAACCUAUAGAUUUGAGUUGAUUAUUCGCAGAUUUGGAGAAGAAAAGGUAGUUGACGCAUUCCUUAAUCUUGUUUGGGCUUGAUUUGUACAAUAUUUCCUCUUCUGAUUUUGAAUUUGUUUGCUUUAGAUCUUCAAAGAGCUGAAAUUUUAACUUCUAAUCGACCUCUCUUCUCUAACUUACAACCAUAAAAAUUACGGUGUAAUUGAAUGAAUUUAUUGUAUUUGUCUUUUAAUCAAUUUUUGUAACGAUUUUUCAAAAUAACCCCAAAAGAAAGGAUAUUUGUAAAAGUAUCCCACAUUUAAAUAGGGGUGGACAUGAGGUGGUACAAAUCGGAUAUUUUCAAGAAUUGAAACUAGCUACAAAUUUUUGUGUAUUUUAUAAAUGGAACCAUUCGGUUCCAUGUAAAUUUGUAAUUAUUGAAAGCGAACCGAAUCGGGUUCGAUUUUACCAUAAAAAGUUUUUUAAAUAAAAAAGGGUAAUAGGAAACAAUUAUGUGGGCAGAAUUCAACUGAUUUUUUCGUAAGUUUUAAAUGGGUUGUUUCAAGGUUCUUCUUUAAAAGUUAAGAUAACUUCAUUAAUAAUUUUGAUUACUUGACUUAUUUUUAUUUCUUUAAUUUAAACUAAUAAACAUGACAAAACUAUUAACAGAAAAAUAUAGGGAUGGACGUUGGGUUCUAUUGGGUAUUUCAAGAACUGGAACCACCCAUUAAACGUAUUUUGAUAAUGGAAUCAUUGGAUUCCAUGUAAUUUUUGAAACUGAACUCGAAUCAACAUUUCCCCGUUUAACUCCAAUUAGUUAGGUUUGGUCCGAAUUCCACCCCUAAUUCCAGAACAUUUAAUUUUUUAUUUUUUAUUUGUACAAAAUUUUAAUUUAAACUUAUUGGCUCACAGGAGCACUACCUGGUACGAUCUGACACGUGUUGGGCUUGUGUUUUGUACCUAGCCUUGAAAACUCGAGAUACGUCUAGUCAUCUACAAAUUAAACACGAGCCAAGCCCAGUAUGGGGUGAAGCCUACAAGGCCCAUAUAAUUUUCAGCCCAAUCUUUUUCAUUGCAAUUGAUAGUAUUCUGGGCCUCAUAAUUGGCUUCCGUGGGCCUAACCAAACUCUUGAGACCCAAAAAUAAACUAAUGGAAAUUAUAUAAUAGCAGGUAUUUAAAGAUUAUAACUCAAAAAUCAAGGCUGAAGUUUCAUUGUUCACAAAUCAGGUAUUCCGAACUCUAAUUAUUUCAUUCUACUCUCAACCACUACCCACUCCCCCUACCCCAUAUAAUUGGUCUCACAAACCACCACCGGAAGCUAUUGUUAGAGAUCGCUGUCGAUGAUGUCUCUCAAUUAUUGGGAGCGUCGUCGAUAAUGUCCUACCUUUUCUCCUUCUCUCUACCACAACCGAGAUAACUAUUGUGCACGUGGAAUCGGCGGUUAUAGACCCAACACCCGUCUUCUCUUCUCCCUAACCUCUCCUCUCUCAACAAUAGCGGCGCCAUCCCUUGAAGAGAAUCUCUUGCGCAACGAUGUCACCACCGAAAGAGAACCGUUGCGAGUAACGGCAUCUAGCCCUGGGCACAGUAGUGUUAACGAUGUUGUAAGUGAGUUGUGCCCUGCUGUUUGUCUUACACACCAAUAAUCGUUGGUGGUUGUGGUAGGUUCAAAUAUGAGUGGUGGUGGUGGUGAUAGUGUGCGGUUGGAUGCGGUGGUGGUGUGGUGGUAGUACUACCUGUGUGCAGUGGAGUUUGACCAGUUUGUUGUGGUGCAGAUGUGGUGUGUGGUGGGUUCAGAUCUGGUUGGUGGUGGUGAUGUAGGUGGCCGUGUUGUUGUGUUAUUGUUAUUGUUGGUUGUGGCAACGACAGGAUGGGAUGAGGAGUGUUUUGUGACCAAUGAUUUGUAACCAAGUAUUGGUGGUGGAUUGGGUGUAUGUGAUAAAUUAUUUGACUCAAAAAAUUUUUACUAAAAAAGUAAUCUGUAAUUAACAAAUUUUAAAAUAUGUGAUCGAUAGAUAAACUUUGACUUAUAAUUUUUUGAUCUCUAACCAAUAAAAUAAAUUGUGACUUAUAAAACUUUUGAUCCGUGACCUCGAAAUGAUCUAUGACCAAUUAAUUUGACAAUAUGUGAUCAAUAAAUAAGUUAUGAUCUAUAAUUAUGUACAUGUGACCUUAUUAUAUUUAAUUAAUAAAUUUUUUUAAUUAAUUAGCUAAUAUAUGAUUUUUGCAUUAUUUAUACCUAAAACUGGUUUUUGAAUUCUCCAUAAUUAAUAUAUGACUUGUGAAUUUUUCCCAAUAAACUAUACCACAGCAAAUCACAAUUAAAAGUGGGCAAACUUCAUCGAUUUCGGUGAAUUAGAUUGAACCGAUAAACUGGAUUCGAUUUUGACAAACGAAAAAAGAAGAAUUGAUACUUUUCAAUUUAUUUUAGUUUUUUUUUAGUUGAUAAAAAUAUUUAUUGAUAGAUAAUGCAAUUAUAACUCACUCUUAUUUACUUAAAAAUAUUGAACAAUGACGAGCUCACUCGAAUUAAUUCAAUUUCGUUGAUUUCAAUAGAUACUACAAAAAGAUAUUAUCCAUAGUAACCAAGAUAGAAAAACCAACCACUAAUUAAUUGCUAAUACAGGUAUACCCGACCCCCUGAUUUGUCUAGUAAAGUAGAUUUACCAUAUGCUGCGUAUCAACCAGCUUCAAAUCCUACACAUUAUCAGCAUAUCUCACCUGACCUUUGAACCCACCAUUUUUAGAUGGCUUUGGUCCUCUGGGAUCUCCAUGUGCGGCCACUUUAGCAGUAGGGAUUCUUUUGUCGAACCCAAAUUCUAUGUCCACAUCUUUGAAAUUAGGUUUUUGCCUAGACUCCCAUUCUUUAGGGCCAAGGUCGUGGCCUCGGACCGGCUUGGCCUUACCACGGUGACGCUCCUCCUUGCCGCUGUGGUGCUCCUUAUUACGGCGGUGGUGCUUCCUGUUGCACAGCCGUCCAAACAAGCAAGCAAUGGCUGAUAUUACGAGUACAGCGGCCAAGACAAUGAAAACAGGUCCAAAUGAACCAUUUGAAUUGGAAGAAGGCUGGUUUGUGUUAGUAUUAGGAUACACUUGAUCAACUGGCAGUGACAUUUUUAGAUAAGAAGUUGAAAAUUGAUGACGAUUUUGAGUUAAUUGGCUAGAGGGUUAUGUUCUUUGAGUGAAGACAAAGGAGGGUUCAAGUGAAGAAAUGGAAGGGACAAUAAUUUAAUUUCCUGAUUAUGAAAAAUGAGAAUCUAAUGGUAUAAGAAGGGGUUCUUGAAUUCAAAAAAGAAAUGCUUUCACUUUAAUAAAGAUAUUCUUUAUGUCCUUUACCGCUGCUCCUUUGAACAUCAAUACCUAUGCAAGAGCUCCAUGGAGGAGCUUUACUUUAUAGUGCAAUUGUUUGAAUGACAUGACCCUAGGGUGUUAAGUUGGUCGUCUGGCUAGAAACGAGGCAAUCCGACACUUCGAGGGUUCAGGACACCGUUCUUUAUCUAUAGGCCAUGUUAGGCUGCACAGGCUUUAGUGCUUGGGCCAUUUUACAGCUAAUUUGUAAUACAGUCCAACCCACUAUACAUCUCUAUCCAUCGUUAUUUCAUGGGGUGUGUACACCGUACACCUAUAUGCACAUGCUAAUAAGAACAUGAAGUCUUGCAAUGUAAAUUCUCAUAGCAAAAAGUACAAAUUCUUUUUGUGAUACCAUUAGAAUGUGGGGACAAAAAAAUAUCCAAGUGUGUAUAUGCAUGGUAGGUGUAGGAAUUCGAAAAAUACCGUGAAACGCUUUCCCAAGUUCACAAUAAGAAAAGCCUAUCUUGAGAUUUAAUUUGCAUGAUUUGGAUCUUUAUUUUUUGCUUUUAGCAGAGAAGAGCUCUCUUUAAGGGGCAUGUAGGGUUUGAUGUUGUCCAAUGAUCAGCCAAUAAAUAUUUAUUUAUAAUAAGAAUCACGAUUAAUUAUAUAUUUAUAUAAUUGAGUUGGAUAAUUAGCACAUAAUAUCCUUAGCUUUCACUAUUAUUGUGAAAAACAUCCUUACCUUUCUUUUUUUUGACAUUUUUACCUUUAUUUCUACAUUUUUGUUGCGCAAAAGGUUAUUUUCAUUUAUUUUCACAAUUAAAAGUUGUGAAACGAAAAAUAUACCAUUGUAUUUAUAUAAAACAAAAGGAAAAAGUAUGAGCUAAUUGCAACCAUAGUCCAAAUUUAAAAAAAAAAAGUGCAAUCGAAUUCCAAUUUUUUUGAAAAAGUGUAAACGAGUCCCAAAUAAAUUAAUAAAUGGAUAAUUAGUACAUAAUAUCCUUACCUUUCACUAUUAUUGUGAAAAAUGUCCAUACCUUUAAUUUUUUGACAUUUUUAUCCUUCAUUACCUUCGAUUGCACAAACCAUAAUUUCUAUUCAUUUUCAUCCAAUCUAUUAAUAAAAAGCUGUGAAAUGACAAAUAUAUUCUUCUAAAAAAAAAAGAAAAAUAAAAGUAAUUUUCUCAUGUGAGUGUUGGAUCACAAGCUGCAAAGUCAUGCAUAGUUGCUGCAAAUCACAUUCAGCACCCUGCCUGCAUUUGAAUUUGCAAAUUUUUUUUCUUCUUUCUUUUUUACUUCUUCUUUUUCUUUUUCUUUUCCUUUUUUUAUUUUCAAAAUUAAAGAGAUGAUAAAUUGAUUGAAAAAAAAAAAAGGCAAGCUAGUGGCUCGUGAGCUGAUUUGAGGUUUUGGAAAUGAGCCAGCUCGAGUUUGAUUCGUCUCAUAUGUUAUUGCAAGCUAGCUCACGUGGUGGACCAAGCUGAACUCUCUGGUGGACAAUUCGAGCGGCUCAACUCGUCUCAUUUAAGACUAUAUCACACAUUGAGGGCUUGGAUUAUGGGUCUGUUUCACUUUUUUAUUUUCAAAAAAUAAUAAAAAGUAAGUAAGAAAUAAGUGGGAAAAAACAUAAAAUAGCCACUUAACACUAGAUUACCUGUAUCUAUAGAUCAUGUUAGGCUACACAUUUUGAUACUCAAUUAGCUUUACAUUUCUACUUAAUUCAAUUUAUGUAUAGAAGAAUGUAUUACAACUCGAUAUACUUUAUACUUUUAUCAAUCGUUACUUAGUAAGGAAAUGCAUGUGCAGAUAAGAACAUAGAUGCCUUCACAUGCAAAUUCAUAGUUAAAGAAGGUGCGGAAAAAAUAAAAAAUAAGUAAAUGAAAGAGUGAAUAUGAAUGUAGCUAGGUAUAGAAAUUCGAAAAAUGUAAUCUUACCCUUUCCGAGAUCACAAUAAGAAAAGCCUAAGUUAUGAUUUUGCAAGAUUUGCAUCUUUAAUUUUUGCUUUUAGCAGAAAAGUGUCCGCUUUAACUUUUAAGGACCAUUUAGGGUUUGAAAUUUGUCUAAUAAUUAGCCAAUAAAUAUUUGUUUAUAGUCACCACAAUGAUUGAACAUACACAAACAUUUUAUAAUUUGAAUGCCUAUAUUCAUCUUACUUUAUUCAUUUAUCAUAUCGGAUCAUCAUUGCAUUUUUAAAUUAAAAAAAAAAAAAAAUUUCAAAACACACACACACACACAUCCUAAUCAGUUGGGCGAUUGCUUAAUUGUGAUUAAAUUUAUAUUCUACUUCUUGUUCACAUAGUUUACUCUUAAUACAUAUAAUGAUUUAUUUUUAAGUCUAAAAUCUAAAUCCAUUUCUACUAAUUAAAUCAAAAGGGAUCGUUUCAACGAACUUUUUUGCCAUCCUCAAUUCCAUUUGGUUUCUUAACCUUUAAAUAAUCAAGCAAUGACAUAUUAUAAUUUAUGAUCCCAACGAAGAUCGAUUCAAAAUCAUUUUUUAAAACACAUAUAAAGCAAUUUGUCCUAUUUUGACUAGCAUUUGAGCUUUCCUUCUUUGAGUCUAUAUGUAAGAAAUUUAUAAUAAUUAGUAGAUAGGUACCAACAAUGCCCACAUGGACAUGAUCACAAUCGAAAUUACACUUUUUUAAUUUUUACAAUUUCCUCUGUCAAACCAUUUAUUACUUCAACAAAGUCACAAGUACAGAAAAAUUUAACAGAAUUUGUACCAACAAUGACGUGGAAAAAUAUAGUGGGCUGUUUAUUAUUAUUAUUAUUAUUUUUUCCAGCCUCCAAUGAUAUCAUGUCAUAUGUUGUUUGUAAGAUUUUUCUGUCAAAAAAAUCUGUAUUUGUAGCAUGAUUCUUGUGACUUAGGUAGAUGAUUAUAAUUAAACAAUAUUAAAAAGGAAAAUAUACAUUGUACAAAAUAUACAAUUCAAAUAUAAUAUAGAGAAUUAAUACACACGAGAGGCGUAAAAUCAAGACGACAAUAAAAAAAUGGAGGGAUUUGAAGCAACAACAAUCCAGGGAUUUGGAUCAAAACGCUAUUAGACUCUCUAGCAUCACGUUUGGAGACUUGUGGAAGAUUGAAAUAAAUGUUAGGCUUAUUAUUGAUCAUUUUUGAAAAAACAAUAUAAAAUUAAUGGAUAAUUGAAAUUUAUAGUGGAAUGCAAAUGCAUGAAGUACUAUCGGAUUUAAUUAACAAGAUAAACAUCAUCACGAGAUAAAGAUGAGUCCGAUAUUAUGAUGAGAUUCCUACCAUAACCUUUCCCUUUUACAAUUUUUUUUAUUUUAAAUAUUACAAAAUGCUAAUUAUAUUAUAUAGAAUUGCGAAAUAAGUAAUUCGAGAUCUCUUCUAUGCUGACUUUCUCAAUGCAUUUCUAUUGACAAUGACUUUGUUAUUUGAUCUUUAUAGAUGAUUAAUAUUUCUUAGCACAAAGAUUGUGAAUUAUACUCAUCUUUGAAUUGAACUUAAUCCUUUUGCGAAAUUAAACUUCUUAAUAGUUUUAAUUAGCUCUAUAUUUUGGAGUUUACUCUCCCUCAUGCGCUGUGCUAAACUUAACUUUCACACGUUAUGUAUAUUCGAGUAUUUGUUCUCUUGUACUUUUUCCCAUAUUAUGUAAUUAAUUUACAAGAAAAUAGAGACUAAAAUGGACUUGAAAUAAUUUCUAACAUUGUUGAUCACGUACCUUCAUAUUGUGAUAACAAUGAAGUCAUCGUGCAAAAGAAUGAACUAAGGUCUCAUCAAUGAUUCAAAUUACAUAUAUUUGAAUUUUAUAUCAUCCGUGGUCGUAAGUAAUAACGAGAUGUGAAUAUCAUUAUUAUUGAUAGACCAUUACGUGUGGUAUUUCUUAUUUGUGAAGUAAAUAGCUAAUCUUACAAAUUAAAUUGUGGUGACACAUAAAUGAAUACGUGGAUGUUUUGUUAUAGAAUAAAACAUUGCAGACUCAUCUAUAUGGGUAACUAUCUAAGUGUCAAUGGUUAAUCUCUAGCGCUCGGUAAUAGGAUUGGUCAUUCGACUUGAGGUCAUCAUAGUAUUUUGUAUGAGGAUAGGCAUACUUUCGUGAUAUUGAAUGUUGCUCUGCCAAAUGUUGCUAAUACAACAUUGUUCGAGUAUAUCAAAAAUCAUAUAAAGGUUGUAAAUGAUUAAUAGAGGAUUCAUCACUCUUAUAUAGUAAGAAAUUAUGAUCUACAUUUUAUUCAAUUAAGUUGCUAGCGAAAGCAUUAGCUAAGAUGUACUCAUAAGUCGAAAAUGAGUUUUCGACUUACAUUGAUUAAUAGUAGAAUGAAGAUGAUCAAUAAUUGAGAUUGACAUGUAUCUAUAUAUCGUAUUUGAUUAGAUCAUAUUGACGAAAAUAUUAUAGUUUAAUGGUAAACAAACAAGUUUAAUUUUGUCAUAUUACGUGACAUUUUCAGUCAUAUAUAUUGCAAUGACACAUUGUUAGAUGUUAAUCUAAGACGACGAAUGUAAAUUGGUGAUAAAUUAAAAAAUGGUAUUUUAAUUUAUCGAUUUUAAUUAGAUCAAAAUAAUAAUUCAUAUCAUUAAGUAUUGUGAUUGAGAACCUAAUGGGUCACACACAAAAGAUGAAUUAGAAAAAAUGAUAUUAACCAACUAAUUAAUUAACAAGUAUUGGAGAAUUAAUUAAUUGGCUAGCUUAUUAAUAGGCCCGAAUUAAUUGAUUAGAUUAAUUAUUUUAUGAAUCAAAUUUAAUUAAUUUGAUUAAUUAAUAUAGGUUUGGGUUAAGUUUAAUAGAUGGGUCAAGUCCACAUGGACUUAUAUUAGUAGGUUGCUAGGAUUUGAAAAUUCAUAAGAGAAUACGAUUCAUAUUCGUGUUAGCACAAGAAAAGAAAACUCUAGUUUUCUCAAUCUUGUUUUCACUGUAGAUUUUCAUUGGAAGUUUGACUAUUGGACAACUGUGGAUUGCAGAUCAGGUUAGAAAAAAAUAUACAAGUGCAGAAAUGCAUGUAGCUGCAUAUAGGUAUUCGAAAAAUGUAAUCUUACCCUUUCCGAGUUCACAAUACGAAAAGACUUAGUUUGUGAUUUUGCAAAAUUUGCAUCUUUAUUUUUUGAUUUUAGCAAAAAAGUGUCCGAUUUAAGGUACAUUUAGGGUUUGAAGUUUAUCUAAUUACUAGUUUUCUACCCAUGUGAUGCAUGGGUUACACUUUUUUGGAAGUGUUGUUAGUGUGUUCAAUGUCAUAUGAAUUUAACAAUUCAAAGAAAACAAAGUUGUGCAAUGUCGAAAAGUUUUUUUAGGUAGUUCAUUUUUUGAAUUUUUUAGUUUGUAUGGUUGGAAUGCUAUAUUAUUGGCUAAAUGCAAUGAAAUAAAGUUGUAAAUAGAACAUUUUUUUCUUACAUUACAAUAAAUAAUAAUAUGAAUAUAACUACUGUGUUUGUUUUAUUUAUCUAUUAGAAGUGCGUAGAAUUGAAAGCUAAAGAAAGAGUAAAAUUUAAUAGAUUGCGGCAGUGUUCUUUCAUAAAAGGACAAAAGUUCAUAUAUAUUGACAGUAAAUAUAUAAGAAGGACACAACGGCAGAUCACAAUGUUUACAUUCUAAAGGAUAAAGAAGAAAGAAAAAAAGCUUAGAGCAACCUCUCAACCUCUUAAUCUCAAAAGUAGCAAGUUAUUGUUGGUAGAGUUGUAGCUAGGAGUUUUUCAUUAAGGAACCGCACACAUGCAUUCUUACUUAAUUGCCAACUACUACAAAAGUAAUGUAGAUGAUUUCCAUUUAUGUUUUUUUUUCCAAGGUGGAGACAUUAGUCUGGUUGUCAGUUUCAUAGCCUUCUCAAGCCUUCUUCGGUUUGAAGUAUGAUUCAAUAAUUUCAUCUGAUGUUUGUAAGAGAGAAUUUUUUGCAAUUAUGGAUUAUCUAAAGACUAAAUUGUCAAGCACAUUAUGUCCAUGUCACUUAGAUUAAAAAGUAAUUAAUUGAUUUAGAAUUUAAUGACAAGAAUCAUUUGGAAAUAGUUAAACUUAUGCAACCUAACAAAGGCUUUUUGAAUCACCAAAAACACAUCAAAAUACAAUCUUGCACUACUUGAAAAAUUAAAAUCGUUCAUCAAAUUAUUAAUAGGCAUCAUAAAACUUAUAUGGCUAAGAAAAAAUAUGAGGAAAAUAGGGAUGGAGAAUGUAAAACAGAGAUUGUUGAUCAAUAUAUAUUUACACAAACUAGGCAAAGAGACCCCCCCCAGAACGGACCUCUAAUUUUUAGAAAGAAGGUUAUUUUUGUCGUCACUUCCACACAAAUCUCUUCUACAACUUUUGAUGGAAAAAAGGAUAAGAAAAAAUCAAUAAAACAUACCUACAAGUAGUACUAAUCUAAAUAACAAAGAAAUUAUAAUAAAAAUAAAAAUUGUAGAGAGAAAGUGUAGAGGUAAAACGAAUCUUUGAAGCCUUACGACUGAUGUAAAAAUGGAAAUUUUUCUAUUUUUGUGACAAUGAACAAUAGUAUCGUAUUACAUUACAACAUCCUUCAUCCUCAGUAUUGAAGAAAUCGCUUAUCUUUUCCAAGUCCACUUGUUAAUUAAUCAAGAAUCCACUUAACAAACUAAAGAAUUCCGAUCAAUUAAUCCUUUAAAGAUCCUUAAUGGUAAAGCCCACUUUCUAAGUCGACGAUCUUUCAACAAAAUAAUCUAUUUUCACAAUAAUUGUUUGGAAAAAUGGAAGUUACGUGUGAAUCUAUUUGAAAAAGAAGAGACUUUUAAAUAAUAAAGGAUUUUAAGGUCUCAAAGUAUUGGAAUGAGAGAGAAUUUCGACAAAAGAGAGAAGUUAACAUGUAAGGAAGUCCCUAAUUCUUAUCUCUGCUUUGUACUUAUUUAAUAUUUUAUUAUUAUAUGAAAGAUAUAUUUUGCACUUGCUUCUCUUCCAACACACAGGUAUAAUAAGCUUCAUAAAGCUAAAGCAUUAUGAAGCUUAUUAUACAUUGUUGCUAAACUUAAACUUCAUGGAAGAGUUUUCACACAAGUAAUGUUUGAAAACAGAAAAAAGUUAUAAGCCAAAAGCCUCACAAAUUAUUGUUAUCAGUGCUACCGAAUAAAACAAAGUUUUGGAGGUGGUUGUAAUAGAAUCAUUUAGAUGAAAAGGACAAAAUGAGCAAAUAAAACUUUUAUGUUGUGGCAUUGAUGUUGUCUUCAAACUAGUAUGAUGAUGAUUAGAUAAGUUUUCUUUUUGUUAUGACUUGAUCAUCUAUUAGAUGAUCCAUUGUAAUCAUAAAAAGCUCCUACAUCAUAAAGAUAUUUAGAAAGAAUUAUUGUGAGAUAAAAAUAUAGCAAAAAGAAAAUUACAUCAUAUUUAAACAAUCAUGCUGUGAUAGCUUACCAAGUAGGAUACCAUUUCAUGGAUUAAUUAAACGUCAUAUUCAAUCUCAUUAAGAUUAAAUCUCACUUCACUUACCCGCAUAAUAUUACAUGCAUAAUAUUAGUAAUAGUAUAAAUCAAAGAAAAAUUUAAUGAAUUUUGUGCGGCUAGGCAGGUAUUGACCAGUAAUUAGGAUCGAUUAAAUUGUCCUUUUGAAAUCCAUUGUAAAAUAGAAUACAAAAGCAACAAAUGACAUCAUGGAAAAAUAAUGUUAUAUAAUAAAUGUUAGUUAAAGAAUUACCUCAAUGUAAUAUUAUGUUGAAAUAUAAAGUUUGGACCUCUUCCAAAGUAAUCAUCACUAAAUUAGAAAGAAAUCUCCCAAAAGCAAAAUAUAAUUUAAAAGAACAAUGAAAUAUUUUAAUGGAAAAGUCAUUGUUGGUUUGAGCUAUAUCAUAUUCAUUUUGUAGCUAUAAACAAAAGAAAAGCUUUUCGUGAAGAUAUUUGAUUGCUCAUUUAAAUUAUGGUAGGCUUUUGGGAGAGUUCAUUCUAAAUUUAGUGGUAAAUGCUUUGAAAGAGGCUCAAGCAUUAUUGCUAAUAUUUGACUCCCUAGAUGUAUCUGCAGAAAAAAGUGGAGACACUAAGAGUUGGAAUAAAUAAUUUUGUAUAUUGUUUAUAAAAUUACAAAUCAUAAAAUUAUUUACUUACUUGGAAUAAUUUUAGCUAGAAGAAUGUUAGUUUUCAAAUGAUGAUGAUGUAGUAUUGCAUGAAGUUCAAAUGUAGGAUAUCAACACAUAGGUUAAUUAUAAGUAAUUAAAUCAUAUUUCUGUUACAACCUAUUUAGAAUGAACACAAUUUACAAAUUGGAUGCAAUCUUGAAGUAAGAAGAACAGAAGCAAAUUAUAAGUCAAAAUCCCAAUGGAUCUAGUUAUAUAGUGUUCAUACACAAGAGAACAGAACAUAUGUUCCAUAAUAAGCAAACACGAAAGCUCGAAUGAAGAUGUAAAAUUUAUGUAAGAGUGAAACUUCCAUCAGUGUGACACACUUUGUAAACCACGAACAUUCAGAUUUCAUCGUCCAUAAGUUCAAAUACACAUGUGUCACCUUGUUUCUCCCUCACAUAAUUCGCCCAACCAAUGGUGAAAUGCCGCACAUAACCAUUGGUUCUUAGAUUUGUUUGUACUGACCAAUUAUGAUGUGAACUAUCAUGGAUUUGAACACUCUGGACAAAUUUUGGUAGAUAUAAUCGAGCGAAGGCCCCAAGUACAUACUACAAAAUAGAAUGACAAAUCUAUAAGUUGUGAAAUUUCGAAUUAGAUGAGAAAAACAAAUAAGAAAAUGUUUCAUACGCGUAGUUCGAGAAAGAUAAAGGUAGAAGAGAUUCUAGUGAAAGAGAAGCUCACAAUUAUUCUAUGACCAUCGGACGUAGCCUCUAAUGUUACUUGGAAAAUAGGAUUACCACUACGUGAAAGCUCUACCUCCAAUCCCUCAGACUCAUACGUCACUUCUACGUGGAAUGGUCAAAUAUCGAAACAUUGAAAGUAGAAUUUUCGUUGUAUUCAAAGACAAUAAUAUAACCAUCUUGCAAAUUAUGGUGAUUAAAAAAUUAUGGCCAUCCAGCAGCAAGAUAUAUGUUAUCAUCAACUCUUUCGAGUUGUAUGCUGCAGAUAAUUCUAUCAUAACCAAUCAAACACACUGCAUCAGUAAGGUCGUGUCCUAAGAGUUGCACAAAGUUAUCGGGAUCAACUAUAAAAAAAAUAUAACUCUCGUAAGGAAUAUUAUUUACUCUAUAUUUAGUUUUAGAACUUACAAAAUGAAUACUACGGUCCAAUGAAUAAAUACUAACAAAGAGAUCAUUUUAGAACUCACCAAACGAUCGUUAUGGCCCAAUGAACUUUUGAUAAUUGUAAAGAAACGGUGUGGUAGAUCAACCCUGUUUGACAUAAUAUUUAUACUAAAUAGACAAUUGAUAAAUACAUACGUUAAAAGUUCAACAGUAAUAGAAAGUCCUUAUUUGUUUAAAGAAAAAAAACAAUAAAAGAGACAAUUAUCAACAAAAUUGAAAUACAAUAUUUUAUUGAACUUAUGUGCUGUAUUGUCUUUUAGCAUGCUAUUGACUUGAAGAUUGAUCAAUUUGACUAAAAAAGUUUAUUUUCGCCUUAACUUGGCUCUAGGAUAUCAAGAUUUUUUUACCAGUUCAUAAUAACUAUUGCACUGUCGAGUAACUGAUGCUGUGCAGUUGUUUUGCUUUUUUGGAUGGUAGUACAUAAAACUAAUUCCAUUAAAAGUUUUAAGUAUUUAUUUCAACCAAAUAGUAUUUUUCUCUGUUGAAGGCUAUCUUAUUCAUUUAACAAUUUAUUGUUGAAAUGUUUUAAGGACUGCAUUUCUAUGAUACUGUUGUAAUUAUUCAAUAGAAAAAUUUUCGUUUUUAUUUGCUACAUUUAAAUAGGUCUUAAGUUGAAUAAUAUUAAUUUUUUUUUUCUAUUAUUCCAAUGCGAAGGAUGAAGAGAAAAAAGGGAAUAUUUAGUCGAAAGAUUAUUGAAUGGAAAAAUUUAAUAUUUGGCUGAUAAGUUCUUUAUUUGUAUUAAGAAUAUUAGCAAGACCUAUUACGUUAAACAUAAAUGGUAAAAAUAUGGAGAAAAAACCAUUAGAAGCUAAUGAGAAAUAGAGUUACCUCCAUGAAAUUUUAGUAGUAAUAGAUUAAGCAAAUAAGGAUUAAGAAAAAUAGAAAGAGAUAGUUAGUAAUAAGUAGUAGACUCUUAAUAGAAAGAGGAACAAAAAGAGAAGUAAAUUAAAAUGAACAUUAAAAAAACAUAAUUUAUCAAGACUCAAUAUAUUUAUUUAAUAAAGAAGACUUAAAUAAAAAAUAAAAUAAAAUUACCUGCAAAAAAAACAAUUGAACUACAAUAAUGGAGAUGCCUAUAGUCUCCAUCUUAUUUGAAGAUUAUGAAAUCUACACUGCCUAACUUAUAAAUCCAGAUAAUCCCUAUAUUUUCAAUAUAUUUCUAACAAUAAUUACAUAUACAAUUAAAUGUUCGACCCCUUUUGCACUUUUAUUUUCAGCAUUUUAUACUUGGUAUUUUAAGUCUUAAAAAAUAGUCUUCUUCUCACAUCCCUACCCCAUUAAUUUUUUUUUUUUUAUCAUAAUUACAUAAGAACGAACAAUAAAACUGUAUAAUUGAAAACUCCAUGUACAAUAUGUGCUUUCAGUAGAGAGAUUAUUUUUAUUAAUUGAAACUUGACAUAACAUUACGGUAAGUAUUACAACUAAAGGUACCUUUUUUUACUUUGAAAUAAGAGAAAAGUUGCUCGUUCAAACAUGAUUGAAAAUAAAAUAUCACUUAAAAGUAACUUUUACUUAUGUUUAAGCACAGCUGAACAUGCUCUAAUUUUUGUUGAUUGCUGUAUGAUCUCAACUUUAAACAAAUAUCUCAAACUUUAUUUUCUUGUACAAUAAUGGAAUUCUCACUAUACCUGUGGAUAUUUAGGUCUGUAAAUAAAGUAACAUUUAAUUAAACUCUUGAAAGUCCGAAUUAUGGAGUGAAAAAUAGAAUUAUUUCUGAAGAAACACAAAACAAAAAGCCUUGACUGUAUAAAAGCCAAGUCUAUGGAAUAAGCUCUUCAGAAGAGAAGAAUAAAUUAUUCUUCAGGAGGAUAUGGGAGCUGAAACAUUCACGCUUACUUUCAAAUAGUAGUCAGCUUUUGGUGUUGAAUUCUUAUUGGUAUGGCAAACAUGUUUGAUGUCUCAUCCUGCUUAUAGGUUUAUUUAUCGUGUAAGCAAGCUAAAGUUUGUUUGGGAGAGAUUUUGUUCUUAAAAAUUAUUUUUUCCCAACAUAACUUAUGGGAUCCAUAAUUUUUUUCCCGAAAAAAUGAUUAAUUUUAAAAUAAAUUGUUGGUCAAAGCUGAAAUAAGAAAUUUAUUAUAAUAUAAUGUACCGAAAGUUGUUUUAAUAAUGAGAGAAAAAAUUGUCAUUUUACAAUAAGAUGUUCUAAUCAUUUUCUCAAGAACGUAACUUUCUGUUUUUACUUAACCGACAUAUAUACAUGCUUCGACACAAUUAAAAGGUACAAAUUUCAGUAAAACACAAUCCUGUAAAGAGGAAAAAAAUUAAUUCGAAGUGUGUAUCAACAAAAUUUACACCAACAAAUACGAUGCACUCUAUUGAUGACAUUGAAUAAUAAGCUACCAAAAUGAAAAUGGAUCAAAAAACCAUAUUUAAACAUUUUAUUAUUUUUAUCAAUCCGCGAUGAUGAAUAUAUGAAAAAAAUAUUAUAUCCAUAUACAGAGUAGCUUGUAGGAUAGUUAACUAAAUUACAAAUAUGCAUACAGGAAAAGCUGAUAAAAGAGAAAGAAUAAAUCAAAUACAGUUUCGAAAAAUUAAACAUAAUACAAGAAGAAAAAGCACGAGAAGAACAUACUUGAAGGCAACACUCUAAUGUCCUCGAUUUGUUGUAGAUUUUCACCAAAGGUUGAAGAAGGUGGACUUAAAAGUUACUAAUUUUGUGAUCAAUACAAAUUUAUUUAUCGGAUCAAAUUUUUUUUGAAUGUAUACUGAAUUGAUUUCGUACUACAGUUACUUUAUCUAUUUAUCUAUGUGUGGUAAGAAAGUAUCUUUGAAAAUUGGAGCAAUUUUAUGUGGUAAGAAAGCCAACAGCAAACACGCAUUUUGAUUUUUUUUUUGUCCACACGCGAAUCUCAUUUAUUAAUGUAUGGACAAGUGUCGUAUUGAUUUAAAAUUGUCCACUUCUAAAAUUAGUGUCAUGGCGACACGCAUGAGGGAAAAACAAAACAAAAAGAAAAAUAUCUUGAUUAUUUUAACAGUAACUGGGGAUUUGAAAGGAAAAAUAGCGGAUUUUAACGUCGAAAAGGCGCCCACCUAGCUUCGGUUAUCAGAAUCGUGCCCAUGACCCCAAUUCGGAAAGCUCAUUUCGACAAGCACGUCAUGGCCACCGAGCUUCACUAGGUGGGCAUCAUUUUUAACGUCAAAAUCCGCUGUUUUCCCUUUCAAAUUCCCAAUUAUAGUUAUUCUCUUCCUUUUAUGGCAUCUUUUAUGAAAACACACUUUCUAUCAUUCUAAUUAUAUUAAGAAAAUUAUCGCGCAAAAAUAAUAAGCACUAAGAAAAUAAUUGAUUUUUUAAUAAAAAAAAGACGAAUUAUACGCAUUUUUGAAUACACACGUUUGAUGUGCAUUUAACUAUUUUCGAUAUUUAUUUAAAUCGUUCGAUGUGUUUAUGAUAUAGUUCUCAAAAUGAGCUUUGAGAAAAUAUAGAACAUUUAUAGAUUCAACUACCGUACAAUCGUUGAUGAAUUUUUAAAGUUAACUUGUUAUCAAAAUUUUUUAUUUUUCAAAUCAUGUCUCUUUUUACACUAAAAAUAAUUUAAAAGUUUAUUAGAAAAUUUUCUAAAUCAUGUAAAAAAAAGAUUUAUCCCCUUUAUAUAUACAUUGUUGACCAAGCUUUGCAAAUUUGAGCACAAUGAAGAUAUUUUCUAAUAAUAAUAAUAACAUUUAUGGUCCGUUUGAUUGUAAAGAUGAAAUUAAAUUGAAUUGAAAACGAAUUCCAGAGAAUUGAAUUGUCUAGAAAAUAUUUUCCCGAGAAUUGUAAAUUAUUGUGUUUGAUUGAUAUAAUUUUCCACGUGGAAAAUGUUGAAAUAAAAGUGUUUUUUAGUAUUUGUUUGGCUUUGUUUUACAUGAAAAUUGUCAAUUAAAGAAAUAUAAUUUACUGGUAUUGGGGAUAAAAUUUGUUUCCAUUGCAAAAUAAUAAUAAUAAUAAUAAUAAUAAUAAUAAUAAAUAAAUAAAUAAAUUCAAGACAAUCAUCAAUCUUUUGGUAUUCGUUUGACUUUAUUUUACAUGAAAUUUGUUAAUUAAAGAAAAAAAUUACAAUAACUCUUCGAAUUUGUUUCCAUUUCCAAAAAAAAAAAAAAAAAAAAAAUUAAAAUUUAAAAAACUACCAUAUCCCAUGAGAAUUCAUUUUUACUAAAAAGUUGGAAUUGGCACCCGUGUGAGCACUACUCAAGGAAAACAAUUGCCUGAAAAAAAAUGGUAUAUCAAACACCUAAAAAAGUGGGAAAUGGAAAAGGAUUUCCAUGAAAAAUAUAUUGUAUCAAACAGUGCCUUAGUUCAAAUGGAGUCAGUAACACACAAAUUUUGUUGAAUUGACUACCAAUGGCGUCAGUAACACACAAAUUUCGUUGAAAUUACUACCAACGUGUCAGUAUUUUUUGUUUUCUUUGAGAACAAAAGUGAAAAAUAAAAUAUGUCGUAAAUGAAUAGUAACCAACGGAUUCCCUCUUUUAUAGUAAGAGGGAUUAGCCAAUAAAUAUUUGUUUAUAAUCACCAUAAUGAUUGAACAUAUACAAAUAUUUUAUAAUUUGAAUGCUUAUUCAUUUUACAUUAUUUAUUUAUCAUAUCAAAUCAUUUUCGCAUUAAAAAGAAAAAAAAAAAAGAAAGAAAAAAAAGGAAGGAAGUUCAAAACACACUCUCACUCACUUCUAAUCAAUCGAUCGAUUGCUUAAUCGUGAUAAACGUUAUAUUCUAGUAUUUGUUUACACGGUGUAAUUUUAAUACCAAUAAUGAUUUAUUUUGUAAGUAUAAAAUCUAAAUCCAUUUCAACUAAUUAAAUCAAAAUGGAUCGCUUCAAUGAAACAAGUACCUCACUUUUUUGCCUUCCUCAAUUCCAUUUGAUUUCUUAACCUUUACACAAGCAAAGAUAUAAGAAAUUUACUACUCAAAUAGGAGCUGUAAAGUUUCAGAUCAAGGGCUAAAGUGCCUGUCACAGGAACAUGUGACAGGCCCCUGUUCGUGUAGCAAUUCCAAAGAUAAAAUAUAAUUUAUGAUCCAAACAAAGAUUGAUUUAAAAGCUUAUCCAACACAAAUAUGGGUUAAACCCCUUUACCAAGGCCACGAACUAGCUGGCCCCAUUGUAUUACCAGUGCUGCACAGGCCUUGUUAAUGUAGAGAGGUUCAAUAAAUAGGAAUAAGCAUACAAAUAUGAAGCAAUAUGUUCUACUUUGACUAGCAUUUGACCUUUCCUCCUCCGAGUCUGCAAGUAAGAAAUUUAUAAUUAUUAGUCCCUCAGGGCACAUUCAAGUUGGCGGAACAAUCACAUUGGAGGGCUCUGAAACCAAGCGUCGAGAGUUCGAUUCCUGGUGGGAACCUUUGAUCCAAAAAAGGAGGAAUUAUUGGUGGAUUAAUCACCACGGAGGAGGCUCCCUUUGGCGAAGGAGUAAAAGUCAUGUGGGAAUUUGGGAACCAACAUGAGCACAUCCUGCGAUUUACCUCCCUGAGCAGCUGAGGGGCCGGAGGUUCAGGGACGAGGAUAUAGUCUGGCGCAAGCUGGGACACCUUGUUAAAAAAAAAAAUUUAUAAUUAUUAGUGUUAGGUACCAAACCCAUGCCCCCAUACUUCUAGGGCAUAAUCACAAUUGAAAUUACAUUUUUCUAAUUCUUAACAAUUUCCUCCAUCAAACCAUUUAUGACUUGGUAGACGAUUAUAAUUAAACAAUGUUAAAAACGAAAAAAAUAUUAUAUUGUAAAAAAUAUGCAACUUAAAUAUAAAUAUAGAGAGAUUAUACACACCGCCCAUGUUUGAGUCACAUUAUAAGGAAAAAUGCAUUAUUCAUGUCAAAUCAAUAAGACUUGCGGUUAAAAAAUAAGGAAAAAUUUUAGAUUUACUUGUAAUAUUAUUUUAUUGAAGAAUAUGUGAUUGAAAUGAUGUCAAAUCACUAUUAAAGAAUAUAUUUUUUUGAAAAUAAUGUGGAUCAAACAAAAAGACAUUAAAAGAGACGUGAAAUAUUCCAGAAGACAAUAAAAAAAAUGAAGGAAUUUGAAGCAAUCACAAUCCAGGGAUUUGACCCAGAACCCUAUUAGACUCUUUAGCAUCAUGUUUGGUGACUUGGGUAAGAUUGAUAUAUAUGUUAGGCUUAUUGAUUAUUUUUUAAACAAUGACAUGAAAUUAAUGGAUAGCUGAAAUUUAUAGUUGGAAGCUAAUGCGUGAAGUACUUUCGGAUUUUAACAAGAUAACAUCAUCACGAGAUAAAGAUGAGUUCGAUAUUAUGAUUAGAUUCCCAGCAUGCAAUGGUACCUUGGGGCCAUUUGGCGAAUAUCUCCUAUUCAAUUUACAAUUUUUUUUUAUUAUUUUAGAAGUGAGAAAAAUUGAAGUCAAUUCAAUGUCCAAUAUCUUAUGGAUUUCAAGUAGUUAAAAUGAACUCUCACAUGAUCUUAGUCGGGGACGGAUUUGAGGGAGGAUUGGGCUGGGUUGUGGCCCCCCAAGCCCAAGAAUUUUUUUUUUUUUUAAGGAUAUUUUUUAAUUUUUUAAAAUAAAAAAUCAGUUUUUAUGUGUAAAUUUUUUCUUUCGCGUAUUAGUCCAGUUUAAAAUUUUUUAGCCCGGUUUUGGAUCCGUCCCUAAUCUUAGUGAAAUAUGUAUUGAGCGUUGGAUUGAUUUAAAUUAAAAAUAGUGAUUAUUUGUCAAAUAAGUGUGUCAAAUUUAUGAAUUGGAAGAACGAUUUCAUUAUAUUAUAAGGAAAAAAAAUGUAAUUCGAGGUGGAGACCCCAUUCUCUGUCACCCUGACUCAUCUCGAUGCGGGGCAGACUUUCUGUCUAGUACCCGUCCUGCAGACCCAAUUAAUCGCGAUUCCUCGCCCAUUGCCAUCCUAGAGUUGCUACCUGGGAUUAAAUUGACAAGCCCUGAGCCUCGAUUUCACAGAAUCAUUCUCCAAUGAUUCAUUUCCUGAUUUUUGGAACCAGAAUUUCCGAUCCUCGAGUGCUGUACGACAAUUCAAGUACUCCUUUAGUUCUUGCUCAAGAUUAAUAGGUCUGAAAAGGAAACUAAACAUAUUAAAUAUUGAUGUUUCUACCCUUACAAAGUAUGGAAUCAUAGCAUAGACUUGGAUAAUUCCAUUUUGAGAUAGUUGAAAAAACUCCUCUCUUUUCUAUGCGUGGACUUUCUCAAUGCAUAUUUCCAUAGACAAUGUUAUUUGAUCUUUAUGGAUGAUGAAUAUUUCUUAGCACAUGGAUUGUGAAUCACACUCAUCUUUGAACUGAAGUUAAUCCUUCUGCGAAAGUAAACUUUGCUUAAUAGUUUUAUUUAGCUCUGAAUUUUCGAGUUUACACUCCCUCAUGCUGAAUAUUCACUUUUUCCUGUAUUCUGUAAUUAAGUUUACAACAAAAACGAGGCUAAAAUGGGGACCCUUCUUUUAUUUUUAUUAUCAAAUUGUAUAGAAGACAUUAAAAAAAUGAUGGGCAAAGAAAAAUUUGAUCUCCAUUCUUCAAACAAAGAGUCCCUUGUCGCAGACAAUUGUGAUCAGGUAUUCAAAUGGUUGUUUUGUUACAUUUUGUACAGCUGGAAGGUUUGUGCUUUUACAUUUUAUAGGUUAAAAGUGAGGUGGUGUGUUGAAGAUAAAAUUUAAAUAUAGUGUCCUUUCUGAAAGGAGUAAGCUUUCGGGUACAGUAGGUCAAGAGAUGCAUUUUCACAUUGUUUUCCAUUAUUAUUUGAUUUUGUUUAUAAGGUACUUAUAGCUGAACUUGAAGGCAAAAUUUUAGGCUUGUAUUUCUCCUCAAAUGUCUUGCCUUUACUCCGAAGCUUGUUGGAGUUUAUCGAAGGUUGAAAGAAGAGUGGGGAGGAUUUCAAGAUCGUGUUGAUACCCCUCGACGGUGAUGUAACAGAUGGAAUACCAUGGUUUUUAUUGCUUGGCUGUUGUUACUUCGAGAUGAUGCUUAGCCAUGAACCAAAGAUGAAGUCAAGAAAAAGAACUCGAAGAUAAUCAUAGAUAAAAAUGAGCGAACGUUUUAAUUAAGCCUAGCGUUUUUAAGCUUAUGUUUGACGACCAAUCUUUCAAGACUCUUUUUUUUAUUAUUAUUAUUUAUCUAUUUCGUAUUUAUAUUCAACCACACAAUUUUACAAUAAAAUAUUUUUCACAUAAACUCAAAAAAAUUUCCUACUUUUUAAUCACAUAUUCUUCAAAAUUUUACUAUUUAAUAACCCAUUCUACACAGAAAAAUGACUAUCAAAUGGGGGCAAAGUGUAUAUGCAAUUGACUACAAAAGUACAUAUUUAUAACGAUAAGAGAAAUGGGAAAUCAUAGAUGAAUCAACAUUUCAAGGUGAAAAGGAAU